rnacentral:lncRNA from 1 species
CGCAACCUUCUUUCACUCCACUCUCUGUUUCCUUCCUAUUCACUCUCAAUCUCAAUCUCGUUCCUCUUUCUCAGUGUUGCUUGUUCUUGAUUUCACUCUCAGUCUCAUUCAAUUGGUUUAUCUCACUAUCUUGUUCUUUCUUCAAAUCCAGGUAAGUCUCAUUCUUCUUCUCCACACUGUCUCCUUCAUCUACUUCACUCUCAGUUUCGUUAUUCUUUAUCACUGUCGUUCUCGUUCUCAAUCUCGUCCAAUUGGUUCAUCUCACUGUCUCUUUCCUUGCUCAAGCUUAGGUAAAUCAUUCUCAAUCUCUAUAUCUCGUGCUUGCGACUCGGAAUAUUGUCGGUGACAGUGCUCAAACGCAAUAUGAUCUUCAGUGUCAUAGGCUUCANNNNNN